rnacentral:rRNA from 1 species
AGUGAACGCUGGCGGUAGGCCUAACACAUGCAAGUCGAACGGCAGCACAGUAAGAGCUUGCUCUUACGGGUGGCGAGUGGCGGACGGGUGAGGAAUACAUCGGAAUCUACUUUUUCGUGGGGGAUAACGUAGGGAAACUUACGCUAAUACCGCAUACGACCUACGGGUGAAAGCAGGGGAUCUUCGGACCUUGCGCGAUUGAAUGAGCCGAUGUCGGAUUAGCUAGUUGGCGGGGUAAAGGCCCACCAAGGCGACGAUCCGUAGCUGGUCUGAGAGGAUGAUCAGCCACACUGGAACUGAGACACGGUCCAGACUCCUACGGGAGGCGGCAGUGGGGAAUAUUGGACAAUGGGCGCAAGCCUGAUCCAGCCAUACCGCGUGGGUGAGGAAGGCCUUCGGGUUGUAAAGCCCUUUUGUUGGGAAAGAAAAGCAGCAGGUUAAUACCCCGCUGUUCUGACGGUACCCAAAGAAUAAGCACCGGCUAACUUCGUG